UACAGAGGGGCAAGCGUUGUUCGGAAUUACUGGGCGUAAAGGGCGCGUAGGCGGCCUUCUAAGUCGAACGUGAAAUCCCCGGGCUCAACCCGGGAACUGCGUCCGAUACUGGAAGGCUUGAAUCCGGAGAGGGAUGCGGAAUUCCGAGGUGUAGCGGUGAAAUGCGUAGAGUAUCUGGAAGGAACACCGGUGGCGAAGGCGGCAG
rnacentral:rRNA from 1 species